rnacentral:lncRNA from 1 species
UGGGCCUCAAGGUUGUGGGUGCUAAGGAAGGUGUAGAAGGUUAAGAGAUGGAAGGGCCCCAAGGCCAAACCUGCUUUAUAGUUUUCCAAAAAGCUGACAUGCUGGAAGAAAAUGGCUCUUUCUCUGAAGGGUCUGAGACGAUGGUAUGGCUUAGAUGACUCACUUCAAAGCAAUUACAAUCUUCCAUCCUUAUGUGAAGCCGCAGGGACACAGGGCUGAUGCAGAGAAUGCUGCUGGGGGAGUCUGAUUCUCGGUCCUAUGACUCAGUUUCCUCAGAACAACAAUGAAAAGUGAAGCUCACAGAAGUCAACAACUUCUCCAGGCUAAUGGCAAAGGGAGGAUUAGAACUCAAGUUUCAAGAUUUCCAGUGGGCUCUCUCCCUUGCUGGCUUUGAUGAAACAAGCUGCCAUGUUGCGAGCUGUCCUAUGGCGACAUGUACAUGGCAAGGAACCAAGGGUGGUCCCUGGCCAACAGCAAGCAAGAAACUAAACCCUGCCUUCAACCAUAUGAGCUUGGAAGCAGAUCCUUCCCCAUCAAAGUCUUCAGAUGAGACCGCAUCCCUUACUGACACCUUCACUGUAUCCUUGUGAAGAACUUGAAACAGGGGAGCCAACUAAGUCAUGCCCAGAUUCUCAAGCCACAGAAACUAUGAGCUAAUAAAUAUGUGUUGUUUUUAGCUGCUAAAUUUUGUGGUAAUUGGUUACUCAGCAAUAUAUCACUAAUAUGGUAUGUUUGCAUAUUAUGAUAUCAUUUAACAAAUACAACACCAAAGCCCAGUUUAGAGCUAUCCUGAUACGUAUCAUUCUUUAAUAUAUUGCAGUUAUUCA